rnacentral:rRNA from 1 species
UUUGGACGAGGGGCCCCUCUCGGGUUACCGAAUUCAGACAAACUCCGAAUGCCAAUUAAUUUAACUUGGGAGUCAGAACAUGGGUGAUAAGGUCCGUGUUCGAAAGGGAAACAGCCCAGACCACCAGCUAAGGUCCCAAAAUAUAUGUUAAGUGGAAAAGGAUGUGGCGUUGCCCAGACAACUAGGAUGUUGGCUUAGAAGCAGCCAUCAUUUAAAGAGUGCGUAAUAGCUCACUAGUCGAGUGACACUGCGCCGAAAAUGUACCGGGGCUAAACAUAUUACCGAAGCUGUGGAUUGUCCUUUGGACA